rnacentral:rRNA from 1 species
AAAGAGUAUGUAGGCGGCUUGGUAAGUCAGUUGUGAAAUCCCCGGGCUUAACCCGGGAAGUGCAAUUGAUACUGCUAAGCUUGAAUUUGGAAGAGGGUAGUGGAAUUCCUGGUGUAGUGGUGAAAUACGUAGAUAUCAGGAGGAACACCGGAGGCGAAGGCGGCUACCUGGUCCUAAAUUGACGCUGAGAUACGAAAGCAUGGGGAUCAAACAGGAUUAGAUACCCCGGU